rnacentral:ribozyme from 1 species
UGCACAGCAACUCCUAUCCCUACCUCCUCGCGGUACUGGCCGGGGUACGAGUAACCUUUGCGAAGAUCGGGUAACCAACCCCCGGUGGGAACUUUGGUCGUAUGCUGACAGGGAAAG